rnacentral:rRNA from 1 species
UACGGGGGGGGCAAGCGUUGUUCGGAAUUACUGGGCGUAAAGGGCUCGUAGGCGGCCAACUAAGUCGGAUGUGAAAUCCCCAGGCUCAACUUGGGAACUGCAUCCGAUACUGGAUGGCUUGAAUUCGGGAGAGGGAUGCAGAAUUCCAGGUGUAGCGGUGAAAUGCGUAGAUAUCUGGAGGAACACCGGUGGCGAAGGCGGCGUUCUGGACUGCAACUGACACUGAGAAACGAAAGCCAGGGGAGCAAACGGG